rnacentral:rRNA from 1 species
AGAACGAACGCUGGCGGCAUGCCUAAUACAUGCAAGUCGAACGAACUCUUCGGAGUUAGUGGCGCACGGGUGCGUAACGCGUGGGAAUCUGCCCCUUGGUUCGGAAUAACAGUUGGAAACGACUGCUAAUACCGGAUGAUGACGAAAGUCCAAAGAUUUAUCGCCAAGGGAUGAGCCCGCGUAGGAUUAGCUAGUUGGUGAGGUAAAGGCUCACCAAGGCAACGAUCCUUAGCUGGUCUGAGAGGAUGAUCAGCCACACUGGGACUGAGACACGGCCCAGACUCCUACGGGAGCAGCAGUAGGGAAUAGUUGGACAAGUGGGACGAAAGCCUGAUCCAGCAAUCGCCGCGUGAGUGA